rnacentral:rRNA from 1 species
UUGAAAGGGAAACGAUUGAAGUCAGUCAUGCCAGUGGGAAUCAACUUAGGGGAAACUCUGGGUGCACUUCUUCGCUUGGCAGGUCAACGUCGAUUUUGAAUGUCAUAAAAUAAUUGGGGGAAGGUAGCUCCUUCGGGAGUGUUAUAGCCCUUGAUAGAUGUGAUGUUUGGGGUCGAGGAUUGCAACGGAAUCCUUCGGGGCUAGCCGCCUGAUCUCUAAUUGGUGUUGGGUUACGGAUAGCAUGCUGACCGUGAUCUAAUUACUGGUUAAAAGGUUAGAGUGUGCAUAAAUUCGUUAAGGAUGUUGACGUA